AGCUGCGCGGUGCACACAAAGCGAGCUAUUCUUUCGCCUUUUACUAAAGAAUACCGUGUGUGCGCCGCAAAUAGCAGCAUACGCUUAUUUUUGGAGGGUGCUCUUCUUAUUGGAGGGCC
rnacentral:snRNA from 2 species